CAGGGAUAAAAGGUAAUGCUAGGCCAGGUGCAGAGGCUCAGGCCUGUAUUCCUGCAAUUUGGGAGGCCAAGAUUGUGCGACCCCGACGUGAUCCCCUGCCCGGUACCCGAUCCCAAGUAACAGCUCGAGCGAGAGUUGGAAGCCGAGUUCAGGUUUAUUGGGACCAGCGGGCAGGCCAGGAAAGGAAGGAGAUCGGGGGCUGGCUGCGACUGCGCAGCUGGGGUAGGAGGGUUUUAUAGGGGGGGUGGACGGGGCGUGGAUACAGGGCUGGCUGAGUGUCGUAGGAGCUUAGGAUAGGCUGUCCGUUUCUGGGCGGACUGCUGAGGUAGCUCAGAGGGUUAUGUGUCGGUUCAGGAUAGGCCGAGGCUUGGCGGGCUUUCCUGCUGCGAUGAUUGGCUGCUUGUUGUUGCUAGGCAGAACAGAGCAGGCUUGGCGGGCUUUUCUCAGGGUAGCAAGAAGCCUGGGGGGCGGGGGGGGGCAAGAACCCUGGGGGAAAGAUGGCGGGACUUUCUACCGAACAAAGAUGGGCGGGUCAUCUGAGGCAAGGAGUUCAAGACCAACCUGGCCAAUUCGGUGAAAUCCUGUCUCUACUAAAAAAUACAAAAAUUAGCCAGGACAGGCAUUCCUUGCCAAGGAUUAAAAGGAGUUCCGCAUUCCUCACAGGCUCCAAUGAACAUCUUGGCUUACGUGUCCUCCUACCUAAGAAUCUGCUCUUCACAAUGGAAGAAGAGGAAAUCAACAGAGUGGAAAAACUGGAUGAAGAUUAUGAAUAAAAUAAGCGUGUGUCCUUCAAGGCCUGUGAAAACAUGAAAAAUAAUCUGAAGAGCCUUUCUCAUCUAAUUUAGGAUCCACUCAUGCCCAAAUGAAGUGUCUAAUGUACAGUCAAGGGGGCCAGGAUUGGGGUAACAAAGAUAUUGAAAGCCCAUUGAUAUGGUUUGGCCAUGUCCCCAAUCAAGUCUCAUCUUGAAUUGUAGUUUCCAUAAUCCUCAUCAUCGGAGGGACCUGAUGAGAAGUAACUAAAUCACGGGGGCAGUUUUCUCCUUGCUAUUCCCGUGAUAGUGAGUAAGUUCUCAUAAGACCUGACGGUUUUACAUGAGAACCAAGUGAAGGCACUUCCCCCUUCACUUAGUUCUCAUUCUGUCUCCUGUGCCAUGUGAAGAAAGACAUAUUUGCUUCCCCUUCUGGCAUGAUGAUAAGUUUCCUGAGGCCUCCUCAGCCAUGCAAAACUGUGAGUCAAUUAAACCUCUUUUCUUUAUAUAUUACACAGUCUCAGGUAUGUCUUUAUUAGCAGUGUGAGAAUGGAUUCAUACACCCAUGGUUUAUCAAAACAAACAAAUGAAAACCAAAUGCAAUUCCAGGUCAUCUCUGAGCUGCAAGAGGGCUAGCUGUCAUCUUGGAUGUAAGUUCCACAUGGCUCUCACCUCAAGCAGAGUUAAUACAUUUGAGAUAGUCAAGGGCAUUUACCAGCAAUCCAUCAGUGAAUAUUUAUUGAGUACAUUGGACAGCAACUGGCUUGCUUGCUUAAAACAGUAAUGAAACACAUCACAGUUUUAUCAGAGAAGAGUUCCAGGAGGAAAUCUCUAGGUAAUGAGAGAGAAAUGUAAAAGCAACCCCAACUACCCCUAAUCCCUCUAACGCAUAGAGGUUUACUUUUCCCUUAAGAAUUUCAAUUUCUCCUACUAUCAUAAAACCUAACUCUUCUUCCUUUAAGCCCCCAUUCAACUUUAGAAAAAAAUGUUCUUUCCUUGGUUCCUCCAGUGACACCUAGAGAGCCUGACAUUUGCAAGAACAACUUUGCCAAUUAUUAAGACACAACAAAAAUAAUAUUUUGUAGACAGUUUCCCAAAGGAAAAAUGGUCAUGUCUCCAAAGUUGUUGAACUGGUGAUAACUCUGCUGUAGCCACAGACAGCAGGACAGGUCAUCAGCCACCAUGAAGCUUCCAGCUCAUUCUGCUUCGCAGACAAUUCCUAAGACCCACAGCUCUCUUACACGUUCCAUACUUUAUUUCCUAGGGAAGCACAGCACCUAUUUAACUGAGGGUCAUAACAAGUAUGUGAUGCUUUGAAGCUGAAGAGUAUUAAGGAACAUCAGUACUCCCCCUAGCAUGAUGGCUCAUACCUGUAAUUCCAGGACUUUGGGAGGCAAAGGUGUGAGGAUUACUUGAGGGCAGGAGAUCGAGACCAGAGUGAGCAACAUGGCAAGACCCAAUUUCUACAAAAAAUACAAAAAUUAGACAGGUAUGGUGGCAUGCACAUAUAGUCUCAGGUCCUUAGGAGGCUGAGGCAGGAGGAUCACUUGUUCCCAGCAGUUUGAGGCUUCAGUGAGCAAUGAUUGUGCCACUGCACUCCGUCCUAGGUAGCAGAGAGAGACCCUGUCUCACAGUCCUGUGUCCUAUCUUCUGGCCUUUUUCUUCAUUUUUUUUUUUUUUUUUUUUUUUUUGAUGAAGUUUUGAUCUUAUCACCCAGGCUGGAGUGCAAUGGCAUAGUCUCAGCUCACUGCAACCUCUGCCUCCCAGGUUCAAGCAAUUCUCCUGCCACAGACUUCCAAGUAGUUGACAUUACCGGUGCCUGCCACCAUGCCCAGAUAAUAUUUUUGUCUUUUUAGUAGAGAGAGGUUUUCACCAUGCUGACCAAGCUGGUCUCGAACUCCUGAUCUCAGGUGAUCUGCCCACCUUGGCCUCCCAAAGUGCUGGGAGUACAGGUAUAAGCCACCAUGCCCAGCCUUUUCCCUUCAUUUUUAAUGUGUCAUACCAACUGAAGACCACAAUCAAUUAAUUGGAAAAAGAAAGCUGACACUAAU
ensembl:lncRNA